AAUGAACGUUGGCGGUGCGCCUAACACAUGCAAGUCGAGCGAGAAAAGCUUUCGGGCUGAGUACAGCGGCAGACGGGUGAGUAACGCGUGGGAAUCUGCCCUUUAGUGGAGAAUACCUUCAAGAAAUUGAAGUUAAUACUGCAUAAGUCCCUUCGGGGAGAAAGAUGGCCUCUUUGCUAUCGCUGAAGGAUGAGCCUGCGUACUAUUAGCUAGUUGGUGGGGUAAAGGCUUACCAAGGCGACGAUGGUUAGCCGGCCUGAGAGGGUGAACGGCCACAUUGGAACUGAGACACGGUCCAGACUCCUACGGGAGGCAGCAGUGAGGAAUAUUGCGCAAUGGGCGAAAGCCUGACGCAGCAACGCCGCGUGGGGGAUGAAGGCCUUCGGGUUGUAAACCUCUUUCAGCAGGGAAGAAGCGAAAGUGACGGUACCUGCAGAAGAAGCACCGGCUAACUACGUGCCAGCCGCCGCAGUAA
rnacentral:rRNA from 1 species